AUUGUCAUACCAUCUAAGAAGUUGAGGGAGCGAUACACUCCUACACUGUUGGUUAGGAGGAAGAAAAGAGCAAUAACCAACGUACUCUCCUAUCGGAAAUAAAAAAUAAUUGCAACUCCUCCCUCUACAAAAUUUGUUAAAGUUCAGGGGCCAUUCAAGAAGGUAGACAUAUAUGUAGAACUUGGUGCCAAAGAGAAGAGGGAUCUGCGAUAGGCCAAGAGUGCCAAGACAGGAGCACCAGAUUACCCCGGGCCUCCCUUUUCCCCCCAAGACUUCCAGACUAUGAUAGAUAUACGUAUGUGUAACAAGGACAAGGCAAUUUUACUUUUUCUAACCUAUAUUUCUAAUCUAAUAUACCCCAUGA
rnacentral:lncRNA from 1 species